GUUAUAUAGAAACCGCGUUGUAUAAGUACACGUUAUAUGAGGGUUUGCUAUAUUUUGGAAAGUGUUGAUGAAUCAGAAUUGCUUUCUACGUGAUUUUUUUUUAAAUUUAAAUGUUGUGCUUAAAACUAUACAAAUUUUCUUAUUGAAUUAUAAAUGCGAUGAAAAUCGAUUACGUGAUCUUUUUACAUUAUUCGAUUUUGCAACUUUUUAUCGAUUAAAAUCGGAUAAUUGUUACGUCGUUAAUCGUGAAACCGAUUUCGAUCUCGAUAAUAUAUAACAACAGUUUACAAUCGUGCAUAAAACUCGUGUACAAUAAUCUAUAAUUCGACUGGACACACAAUAUUCUGGAUAACAAAACAUCGAAGAAAGAUAAACAGCUUUAGGACGUCUAUCGAAUGCUAUUUUAUCCAUUAACGGAGUUUAAGACAAAACCAGAUUUAGCAGUAUAGACUGACUGAUAACAUAUAAUGUAGCAGCAAUACUCGGUAAACAUACGCGGCUUAUGUUUUAUUUAUUUAAAAAAAUUGUUAUUCGUUUUUUUUUUACAUUUUUUAUUAAUGCUGUUUACCAAUAAGCAACGGUUGGCAUGCCAGUUAACGUGAUACACGUGUACCAAAGUUUGAGAAACUUUGGAUUAGAAUUUCGUAGUCUCAUAAUUAGUUUAGCCAAAUAGUUAUUGUUAUUAAAACAAUGAUAGUUAUAAACUUAUCUUACGUCAGUUUUAAAACGUUAUUAUUUGACGAAACAAUAAUAAUUAUUGCUAGGAAAAUAUAGCC
rnacentral:lncRNA from 1 species